UCCAGUUGUUCGGACCGGACG
rnacentral:misc_RNA from 1 species